GGCAGAGGAAGCCAGGGGAAGGGAUAGAAUCAGCGGACGGCGGUUUCCUAAACCGCAGGCCGCUGGUUCGAUUCCAGCCGGGGCCA
rnacentral:tRNA from 1 species